AGGGAAUCUUCGGCAAUGGGCGGAAGUCUGACCGAGCAACGCCGCGUGAGUGAAGAAGGUUUUCGGAUCGUAAAGCUCUGUUGUAAGAGAAGAACGAGUGUGAGAGUGGAAAGUUCACACUGUGACGGUAUCUUACCAGAAAGGGACGGCUAACUACGUGCCAGCAGCCGCGGUAAUACGUAGGUCCCGAGCGUUGUCCGGAUUUAUUGGGCGUAAAGCGAGCGCAGGCGGUUAGAUAAGUCUGAAGUUAAAGGCUGUGGCUUAACCAUAGUACGCUUUGGAAACUGUUUAACUUGAGUGCAAGAGGGGAGAGUGGAAUUCCAUGUGUAGCGGUGAAAUGCGUAGAUAUAUGGAGGAACACCGGUGGCGAAAGCGGCUCUCUGGCUUGUAACUGACGCUGAGGCUCGAAAGCGUGGGGAGCAAACAGGAUUAGAUACCCUGGUAGUCCACGCCGUAAACGAUGAGUGCUAGGUGUUAGACCCUUUCCGGGGUUUAGUGCAGUAGCUAACGCAUUAAGCACUCCGCCUGGGGAGUACGCCCGCAAGGUUG
rnacentral:rRNA from 1 species